CCUACGGGAGGCUGCAGUGGGGGAUAUUGCACAAUGGGGGAAACCCUGAUGCAGCGACGCCGCGUGAGUGAAGCAGUAUUUCGGUAUGUAAAGCUCUAUCAGCAGGGAAGAAAAUGACAGUACCUGACCAAGAAGCCCCGGCUAACUACGUGCCAGCAGCCGCGGUAAUACGUAGGGGGCAAGCGUUAUCCGGAUUUACUGGGUGUAAAGGGAGCGUAGACGGUUAUGUAAGUCUGGAGUGAAAGCCCGGGGCCCAACCCCGGGACUGCUUUGGAAACUGUGUAACGGGAGUACAGGAGGGGUAGGCGGAAUUCCUGGUGUAGCGGUGAAAUGCGUAGAGAUCAGGAAGAACACC
rnacentral:rRNA from 1 species